GCCAGCCAACCAUGAAAUGAAACCUCUACAAACUGUGAGCUACAAGAAACCUUCCCUCUUUUAACUAUGGGUAUAGGCUAUUUUGUCUCAGCAAUGAGAAAAGUAACUAGACACUCAUCAAUAAAGCAGCUGUCACCGCUAUUAACUUCUCCUAAGAACUGGAAUUCAGACAACACGAUGGCGACAAAAAUAAAAAUAAAUGUGUACAAUACACCUACCAUGGUCCAGGCAUUGUGCUAAGGGUAUACACACCAUUACUGAAACCUCAACGACAAUACUGAGAAGGUACAACUAACACAAUGCCCAUUUCACAGAUGAGAGCUCUGGAACAGAAGGAGGUUAGGCGACCAGCCCAAGGUCACAGAACCAGGCAGUGGGUAUUGCCUGGCCUUCAUUACUACUAGAGAGAGAGAGUAAAGAUGGUGCCCAAAGGCACAGUGGGAAGUGCAGGGGUCAUGGAGAGUGGUGCACCAGGGGGGUUAGGCUGCCCCGCUCUGGGGCAGGAGGCUGUACGUCUUCUGGCCUGGAAGUAAGCAGCCCUUCAGCAACUCACCUUUAAAAGUACUUUCUAAGGGCCUGUCUGUCAUGAACCCUCGGGAACAUCUCUUGUAAUAUCUUGCCCCCUGCUGUUUAUUCUCCUCUUGGCAGCCAGAAUGAUCCUUUUAAAACUAAAACAUACCAUGUCACCUCCCUGCUCAAAAUUCCCAGUGGCUCCUGAUCUUACAGUCAUGGCCAAAGUCCACACAACUAUCUCCAAGGGCCUAAGUAACCCCGCUGGCCUGUUCCUGUUGCUCUAAUGCAUGUUCACACUCUGGCCCCAGGGCCUUUGCACCUGUUGUUGUCUCUGCCUGGAAUGCAUCUUCCUCAAUGACUACCUGGCUCUGUCCCUCAUCUCCUUCAGGUCACAUUCUCAGCGAUGUCUUGCCUGACUACCCACAUUAAAAAAGAAAUACCUGCUCCAGGUCUCCCGAUCUCCCUCUCUGCUUUUUCCACAGCACUGUGCCAUCUGAAGAGCUACUAGUUUAGGUAUUUGCCAUAUCUGACCCACUCCCCAUAGAACACCACCUCUAUGUGGGCAGGAAAUUCUGUUUUGUUCGGUGCUGUGGGCCCAGCACCUAGGGUAGUGCCCAGCACGUGGUAGGCACUCGGGAAACAAUAUGUGGAGUGAAUGCAUGAGACUUGGUUUCACCAUCUCACCUUUGUCUCCUCCCAACCUCCUGGCUCAAAGACCCUGUUUACUUGUUAGGCAACUGGAUACACAGGAGCAGUGAGCCACUUGACCCCUUCUAUCCCUGCUUCCUGAUCUCAAAAACAAGGGGCUGGACUAGGUGAUCUAUGUAGUGCUUCCACUAUGACAACCUUCAGCCAAAAAGAAAGGCAUAAUUCUCCACUGCAACUAGCCUGCAACUGCAUUUACCCGAGUACAAAAGCUGCAUCUCCUUUAGGUUUUCCACAGUUCAAGUCCCGCAGGUCCCCUGCCUCUUAGAGCAAGUGAGGUCUGGCCGCCGCUGUCGCCGUGAUUUGUAACCUGCACACCAGUGUAUCCAUCACGUCAGCAUCCAGUGAGUGCCCACUAAGGCCCAGGCCCACGGUGGUGCACAGGACAGACACAGUUCUUGUCCUGUAGAGCCAGCACUCCAAGAUCAGAAGCAAAAAAAGGCACACAAGCAAAAGGAAUAACUCAGGAGUAACUUCAGCACUCUCCAUGGAUUCUCCAAGUGUGCUCCAAGGAACACUCAUUCAUAGAAUGAAGCUCAAUAAAAGUAUCCAAAUGUGGGAGACCAGAGAGGAAAACUGAGGCCUAACUGGCCCCCUCAGUGAGUACUAAGAGAAAAGGUGGCAUGUAAACAUUUGACAUGCUGCAAGGAAAAGUAAAAACAGCUGAGAUCCUGUUGUUUAUUCAGACAAGCACCAUGGAGAGUAGGAGGCAGAUGAAUCCUGUGUAACUCUAAUUGCUUGUACCCAUGUCUGAGUAAAUAAAACCUAGGUAAGCCACUCAGGGCUCUCUGUCGAAGGGGGACAAGAGCCUCCUGGCCCUCCACAUUUUAACCCGA